rnacentral:rRNA from 1 species
AUUGAACGCUGGCGGCAGGCCUAACACAUGCAAGUCGAACGGUAACAGGAAACAGCUUGCUGUUUCGCUGACGAGUGGCGGACGGGUGAGUAAUGUCUGGGAAACUGCCUGAUGGAGGGGGAUAACUACUGGAAACGGUAGCUAAUACCGCAUAACGUCGCAAGACCAAAGAGGGGGACCCUCGGGCCUCUUGCCAUCGGAUGUGCCCAGAUGGGAUUAGCUUGUUGGUGGGGUAACGGCUCACCAAGGCGACGAUCCCUAGCUGGUCUGAGAGGAUGACCAGCCACACUGGAGCUGAGACACGGUCCAGACUCCUACGGGAGGCAGCAGUGGGGAAUAUUGCACAAUGGGCGCAAGCCUGAUGCAGCCAUGCCGCGUGUAUGAAGAAGGCCUUCGGGUUGUAAAGUACUUCCAGCGGGGAGGAAGGGAGUAAAGUUAAUACCUUUGCUCAUUGACGUUACCCGCAGAAGAAGCACCGGCUAACUCCGUG